CUUAUUCUUAGGGGAAAACAAUUAAUUUCAACCAUCCCAUGCGUCGGCUACAGCCAUUUAUUCACAUCAGCUCACCCUCUGAUAUCUGACUUACACAAAAAACACAAAGACUCGCCAGAUGACAACUGAAUGAGGAUGAUAAGCCGGGCGACUCCGCCUCCCACCUUCCAGCGGGCGCGGCCGGCCCCUCGGGAAGGGCCGUCGGCGAGUCCGGCGGGGCUCCCGGCGGGGCUCACGUCGUGCCCGGUGCCGGCUUCCCAGGGCUAACGAGGGACAUCUUUAUCAGUCCUUCGUUUAACUCGACUCGGAUUUCCUCCUCUGGCAAGACGCAGCUACUCCUCCGCACUUGAACUUCGGAGAGUUUAGGAGGAAUGAACGCGGGUCCUCUUUUUCUUACGCAUCCAUUAAACAGUUUCCAAGUCAACGUGCCAGGCAGCCGGGGAUGAGGAAAGAGCCCCACCACCACCGAGCAGCUUCUUGAAGCACAGUAUCAGACUCUAAUGUACUCCACUAAUUUCCAAAAGGUAGUCCCACAGCCUCUGCUUCUGAGGUCCCAUUCUGAACUUUUAAAAAUUAUUAUUAAAGACAUUUACUCCAUAAUAAUCACCUUUUCCUCAAAACAGUUCAGACACUGCUAGACAUUGUCUUUCACGUGCUUGCAUAUUUUCUGCCUAUUGUUUUUGCAGUCUCCUGUUUUUUUUUUUAAUAAAAGAUUAUAUAAUGAACAUUUC